GGAAGGAUCAUUAUUGAAAUAAACCUGAUGGGUUGUUGCUGGUUCUCUAGGGAGCAUGUGCACACCUUGUCAUUUUUAUAUCUCCACCUGUGCACCUUUUGUAGACCUUUCAGGUCUAUGUUGCUUCAUUUACCCCAAUGCAUGUUAAUAGAAUGUUGUGCCUAUAUAAUAUAUACAACUUUCAGCAACGGAUCUCUUGGCUCUCGCAUCGAUGAAGAACGCAGCGAAAUGCGAUAAGUAAUGUGAAUUGCAGAAUUCAGUGAAUCAUCGAAUCUUUGAACGCACCUUGCGCUCCUUGGUAUUCCGAGGAGCAUGCCUGUUUGAGUGUCAUUAAUAUAUAUAUCAACCUUCUCUUGUCGAAAGGUUUGGAUGUGGGGGUUUGCUGGCCUCUUCUUGAAGGGUUCAGCUCCUCUGAAAUGCAUUAGCAGAACAACCCAAUGUUCAUUGGUGUGAUAACUAUCUACGCUAUUGAAUGUGAGGGGCAGUUCAGCUUUCUAGCAGUCCUCGGACAACUCAUCAUUAAUGUGACCUCAAAUCAGGUAGGACUACCCGCUGAACUUAAGCAUAUCAAUAAGCGGAGGAAAAGAAACUAACAAGGAUUCCCCUAGUAACUGCGAGUGAAGCGGGAAAAGCUCAAAUUUAAAAUCUGGCAGUCUUUUGGCUGUCCGAGUUGUAAUCUAGAGAAGUGUUAUCCGCGCUGGACCGUGUAAAAGUCUCCUGGAAUGGAGCAUCAUAGAGGGUGAGAAUCCCGUCUUUGACAUGGACUGCCAGGGCUUUGUGAUGCGCUCUCAAAGAGUCGAGUUGUUUGGGAAUGCAGCUCAAAAUGGGUGGUAAAUUCCAUCUAAAGCUAAAUAUUGGCGAGAGACCGAUAGCGAACAAGU
rnacentral:rRNA from 1 species